GUGACCUCAAAUCAGGUAGGACUACCCGCUGAACUUAAGCAUAUCAAUAAGCGGAGGAAAAGAAACUAACAAGGAUUCCCCUAGUAACUGCGAGUGAAGCGGGAAAAGCUCAAAUUUAAAAUCUGGCAGCCUUUGGUUGUCCGAGUUGUAAUCUAGAGAAGUGUUAUCCGCGCUGGACCGUGUACAAGUCUCCUGGAAUGGAGCGUCAUAGAGGGUGAGAAUCCCGUCUUUGACACGGACUGCCAGGGCUUUGUGAUGCGCUCUCAAAGAGUCGAGUUGUUUGGGAAUGCAGCUCAAAAUGGGUGGUAAAUUCCAUCUAAAGCUAAAUAUUGGCGAGAGACCGAUAGCGAACAAGUACCGUGAGGGAAAGAUGAAAAGAACUUUGGAAAGAGAGUUAAACAGUACGUGAAAUUGCUGAAAGGGAAACGCUUGAAGUCAGUCGCGUUGUCCAGGGAUCAACCUUGCUUUUGCUUGGUGCACUUUCUGGUUGACGGGUCAGCAUCAAUUUUGACUAUUGGAAAAAGAUUAGGGGAAUGUGGCAUCUUCGGAUGUGUUAUAGCCCUUGGUUGCAUACAAUGGUUGGGAUUGAGGAACUCAGCACGCCGCAAGGCCGGGUUUUAACC
rnacentral:rRNA from 1 species